rnacentral:rRNA from 1 species
UACAGAGGUGGCAAGCGUUGUUCGGAAUUACUGGGCGUAAAGGGCGCGUAGGCGGUCUUGUAAGUCUUGUGUGAAAUCCCUCGGCUCAACUGAGGAACCGCACGAGAAACUGCGAGGCUUGAGUUCGGGAGAGGGAAGCGGAAUUCCGGGUGUAGCGGUGAAAUGCGUAGAUAUCCGGAGGAACACCAGUGGCGAAGGCGGCUUCCUGGACCGACACUGACGCUGAGGCGCGAAAGCUAGGGGAGCAAACGGG